rnacentral:rRNA from 1 species
UGCCUAAUACAUGCAAGUCGAGCGGACCGACGGGAGCUUGCUCCCUUAGGUCAGCGGCGGACGGGUGAGUAACACGUGGGUAACCUGCCUGUAAGACUGGGAUAACUCCGGGAAACCGGGGCUAAUACCGGAUGCUUGAUUGAACCGCAUGGUUCAAUCAUAAAAGGUGGCUUUUAACUACCACUUACAGAUGGACCCGCGGCGCAUUAGCUAGUUGGUGAGGUAACGGCUCACCAAGGCGACGAUGCGUAGCCGACCUGAGAGGGUGAUCGGCCACACUGGGACUGAGACACGGCCCAGACUCCUACGGGAGGCAGCAGUAGGGAAUCUUCCGCAAUGGACGAAAGUCUGACGGAGCAACGCCGCGUGAGUGAUGAAGGUUUUCGGAUCGUAAAACUUCUGUUGUUAGGGAAGAACAAGUACCGUUCGAAUAGGGCGGUACCNUGACGGUACCUAACCAGAAA